ensembl:lncRNA
ACAAGGGACGCGCAACUCCGCGCCGCACCGUGCGCCAGCAUCCCGCGGGGCCCAAGGGAGCCUGGGACCGCCUUGGGACCCCACCCUGGGCUGGAGCCCGGCGAGGGGGUCGAGGGAGCCUGUGGGUGUGAGUGAGGCAGCAUCAGUUGGGGUUUCCGAAGGUCAGAAAAUGGCUAUUGAUUAAUCUAUCAGAAUAGUUGCAGAGAGAAAUAAAAAGGACGUAAAAUAACAGAGAACCUAUAAAUAAAGCCGCAACUAGCUGCUCGGAGUUGUUAAACGACUUAGCAUGUGAAAAAGUCGGAAAUGAGGCGCUGGGGAAGGAGCCGGCAUUGGCAGCGGCCUGGGAUAUAGACAAACACUCCAAGAUUUUAGUUCCUCAGAGAUCGGCAGCAGAGGAGGUGGAGGAGGAGGCGAGGAUAUGGCCAGUGCACACCGAGUUUCUUUGGCAAGGAAAGUCAGUGAUGGCUCCGAACCGUUUACGAUACCUUCUAGACAGCUUCCCGCAAAACCGACUGCAGCGGCGAACUGGCUGUCCGCUGUCCCUCGGCAGCGGAGGUCCCAGGUGAAACUGUCUCAGUAACCCAAUAAUUACAAAAAGAACGUCCGAGGGGCACGGAAAAGAAACUGAAUCCACAGAUUCCCUUUGCUCAGCUUCGGUUGUCCAGCCCCAGAGGCAGGCGCGGGCCGGCAGGAGCCCCACCGCAGCCUAGGAGGCUGGGCCCGCGUGGACGCGUUGCACGUGUGUGUGUACGCACGGAAGGGUAGCGGCUCCAGGGGAUGCCCUCCGCAGUCUUCUUGAAGCAUCCUCCAAAUGAGCCUAAUUUCAAUUCCUCGGCCCGCCAGGGCUGGCUCUCAGCACUCCCUCGGCGCCGCUGUUUACUGCCUCUGAGCCUCCCUCGGCCAAGACCUGGCCGAUCCGUCCAUUCCCCCGUGUCUCUUUGGGACCUCCCUGGGGAAAGAGGUGGGGGUGAACAACUCCCAGCCGCCAGUUCCAUUUGUUGCGCUUUUUUCUUUCGACACAAUAAAAGUCAAAUUAAUUGAUUCAUACCAUUAAUUACGGCGCGUAGCGUGAAAAGCAACGCUUCCCCUCUGUUAGAGAUCUAUUGUGCUAAUCUCUUGUUCAAUCAGUGUUACCAUCUGAUGCCGGGUCUGGCCCUUACAGAAACUUUUCGACUCGAUUAGCUAAAUGAUGAGACGUGCGGGACCUACUGGCUGAGCCCCCGACGUCUGCGCCGGUGCCGGCCCAACGGCUUAAUAUCGAUUUCCAGCGGAGACGGCGGAUUUCUCCCAACAGGUCUAGGCUGGGCAGCCCGUCGCCCUUUUCCUUCUG